rnacentral:rRNA from 1 species
UACGGAGGGUGCAAACGUUGCUCGGAAUCAUUGGGCGUAAAGCGCACGUAGGCGGUCCCAUAAGUCGGGUGUGAAAGCCCUCGGCUCAACCGAGGAAGUGCAUUCGAAACUGUGGGACUCGAGUACUGGAGAGGAUGGAGGAAUUCCCGGUGUAGAGGUGAAAUUCGUAGAUAUCGGGAGGAGCACCAGCGGCGAAGGCGGCCAUCUGGACAGAUACUGACGCUGAGGUGCGAAAGCGUGGGGAGCAAACAGG